GUCUACGGCCAUACCACCCUGAACACGCCCGAUCUCGUCUGAUCUCGGAAGCUAAGCAGGGUCGGGCCUGGUUAGUACUUGGAUGGGAGAAAGUGUACUUCAUUAAAGAAAAAUUCAUGAAAAAGCAAGGGAUGAAUU
rnacentral:rRNA from 1 species